rnacentral:rRNA from 1 species
CCAAUAGCGUAUAUUAAAGUUGUUGCAGUUAAAAAGCUCGUAGUUGAAUUUCGGGGUUAGUACGCUGGUCAUGCCUUCGGUAUGUACUGGUGUUACCGAUUCCUACCUUCUGAAGAACCGUCAUGUCAUUAAUUUGGUGUGGCGGGGAAUCAGGACUGUUACUUUGAAAAAAUUAGAGUGUUUAAAGCAGGCUCGCGCUUGAAUACAUUAGCAUGGAAUAAUGAAAUAGGACGUUUGAUCCUAUUUUGUUGGUUUCUAGGAUUGACGUAAUGAUUAAUAGGGAUAGUUGGGGGCAUUAGUAUUCAAUUGUCAGAGGUGAAAUUCUUGGAUUUAUUGAAGACUAACUACUGCGAAAGCAUUUGCCAAGGAUGUUUUCAUUAAUCAAGAACGAAAGUUAGGGGAUCGAAGACGAUCAGAUACCGUCGUAGUCUUAACCAUAAACUAUGCCGACUAGGGAUCGGAUGAUGUUAUUUUUAAUGACUCAUUCGGCGCCUUACG